rnacentral:rRNA from 1 species
UGGGGAAUUUUGGACAAUGGGCGAAAGCCUGAUCCAGCAAUGCCGCGUGUGUGAAGAAGGCCUUCGGGUCGUAAAGCUCUUUUAGCAGGGAAGAUAAUGACGGUACCUGCAGAAAAAGCCCCGGCUAACUUCGUGCCAGCAGCCGCGGUAAUACGAAGGGGGCUAGCGUUGCUCGGAAUUACUGGGCGUAAAGCGCACGUAGGCGGACUCUUAAGUCGGUGGUGAAAUCCUGGAGCUCAACUCCAGAACUGCCUUCGAUACUGGGAGUCUUGAGUUCGGGAGAGGUGAGUGGAACUGCGAGUGUAGAGGUGAAAUUCGUAGAUAUUCGCAAGAACACCAGUGGCGAAGGCGGCUCACUGGCCCGAUACUGACGCUGAGGUGCGAAAGCGUGGGGAGCAAACA